rnacentral:rRNA from 1 species
AUUGAACGCUGGCGGCAUGCUUUACACAUGCAAGUCGAACGGCCGCGCGGGCUUCGGCCUGGCGGCGAGUGGCGAACGGGUGAGUAAUGCAUCGGAACGUGCCCAGUAGUGGGGGAUAGCCCGGCGAAAGCCGGAUUAAUACCGCAUACGACCUGAGGGUGAAAGCGGGGGACCGAAAGGCCUCGCGCUAUUGGAGCGGCCGAUGUCGGAUUAGCUAGUUGGUGGGGUAAAGGCUUACCAAGGCGACGAUCCGUAGCUGGUCUGAGAGGACGACCAGCCACACUGGGACUGAGACACGGCCCAGACUCCUACGGGAGGCAGCAGUGGGGAAUUUUGGACAAUGGGGGCAACCCUGAUCCAGCCAUGCCGCGUGCGGGAAGAAGGCCUUCGGGUUGUAAACCGCUUUUGUUCGGGAAGAAAUCCUCUGGGCUAAUACCCCGGGGGGAUGACGGUACCGGAAGAAUAAGCACCGGCUAACUACGUG